GGAGGAAAGCAGGGGAUCGCAAGACCUUGCGCUUUUGGAGUGGCCGAUGCCUGAUUAGCUAGUUGGUGGGGUAAGGGCCUACCAAGGCGACGAUCAGUAGUUGGUCUGAGAGGACGACCAGCCACACUGGGACUGAGACACGGCCCAGACUCCUACGGGAGGCAGCAGUGGGGAAUUUUGGACAAUGGGCGAAAGCCUGAUCCAGCAACGCCGCGUGAGUGAAGAAGGCCUUCGGGUUGUAAAGCUCUUUCAGUCGAGAAGAAAAGGUUGCGACUAAUAAUCACAACUCAUGACGGUAUCGACAGAAGAAGCACCGGCUAACUACGUGCCAGCAGCCGCGGUAAUACGUAGGGUGCGAGCGUUAAUCGGAAUUACUGGGCGUAAAGGGUGCGCAGGCGGCUUUGUAAGUCAGAUGUGAAAUCCCCGGGCUUAACCUGGGAAUUGCGUUUGAAACUACAAAGCUAGA
rnacentral:rRNA from 1 species